UACAUGUAGCUUUCAUGUAAUGAGAUGGGAUCCGAAGCCUCUUGAGGGAUAAUAUAGGAUCUCCCAUCCAAUUCAUACCUCGACAUAUCCUUCUCGCGCAGAGUGCUUGGGUACACGGACUAGCUCCAUUCCCUCAGGGAAUGGUGGCAUAUCACCGACAAACCGACGUGA
rnacentral:ribozyme from 1 species